rnacentral:rRNA from 1 species
UACAGAGGGGGGCAAGCGUUGUUCGGAAUUACUGGGCGUAAAGGGCGCGUAGGCGGCCUUCUAAGUCAGACGUGAAAUCCCUCGGCUCAACCGGGGAACUGCGUCUGAGACUGGAAGGCUUGAAUCCGGGAGAGGGAUGUGGAAUUCCAGGUGUAGCGGUGAAAUGCGUAGAUAUCUGGAGGAACACCGGUGGCGAAGGCGGCAUCCUGGACCAACACUGACGCUGAGUGAGCGAAAGCCAGGGGAGCAAACGGG